rnacentral:siRNA from 1 species
GGUAUUAGGUUGGUUAUCGGA